UACGUAGGGUGCAAGCGUUAAUCGGAAUUACUGGGCGUAAAGCGUGCGCAGGCGGUGAUGUAAGACAGAUGUGAAAUCCCCGGGCUCAACCUGGGAACUGCCCUCCAAACUGUUUGACUUGAGUCCGGGAGAGGUGAGUGGAAUUCCCAGUGUAGCGGUGAAAUGCGUAGAUAUUGGGAGGAACACCAGUGGCGAAGGCGGCUCACUGGACCGGAACUGACGCUGAGGCGCGAAAGCGUGGGGAGCGAACAGG
rnacentral:rRNA from 1 species